AAGAAAUAACAUUAAAAAAAAGGAAUAUGAAUAAGUAAAAUAAAUAAUAAUAAAUCAAAAGAAAUAACAAUUCGCGAUCACAAAAUACUAGAGGGCCGAUGUUAAUCAGACGCAGACGAUUUCUACGAACAACAGUCCUGUAGUAGCUCUGGAGAUUGGUUCCGUUUUGGAGAUUUCUACCGUUUUGUUCUACAAUGGAGUUGAAAUUAAGAUUUGCAGAAAUUCUAUCCUUUGUUGAUAUUAACAGAAUCGAAUCUCGUAUUAUUAAAGAAGCGGAGAAAAUCGUUGAUGCAGGCCAUUUAGUAACUGUGACCAUAAAAGAAAAAUCUGAUAAUCAUGUAGAGAUCAAGAAUAGGGAAAGAACAGCAUUCCAUAAAAAGUAAAUUUCAAAUAGAUCUUGAAGAAAAUAAAUUCCUGAUAAACAAAGUGAUCUGUUCCUAUGUUGCAGGAAUUAGUGGUUCCUAUAAACAUGCACGGUUCUGAUAUUCUGUUCUCAGUGACAUCUCAGGCAGUGAGAAACAGGCUUCAUGACGCAGGCCUAUCAAGUAGAAUAGCUAAGAAGAAGUCUUUUCUCACUGAU